rnacentral:rRNA from 1 species
GACGAACGCUGGCGGCGUGCUUAACACAUGCAAGUCGAACGGACAGGCCUCUUUCGUGCUGUACUCGCGUUGCGAACGGGUGAGUAACACGUACGUAACCUGCCCUUGUCUUUGGGAUAACUUCCUUCAACUGGGCCUAAUACCGGCUAGGUGCUCCUUCUGCCUGCAUGGGGUUGUAGAGUUUCGGCGUUUUGGGGUGGCCUCGCGGCUUAUCAGCUUGUUGGUGGGGUGGUGGCUUACCAACGCGUUGCCGGGUAGCCGGCCUGAGAGGGUGAGCGGCCACAGUGGGACUGAGAGACGGCCCAGACAGCGACGGGAGGGAGAAGUGGGGAAGAUUGAACAAGGGGUGGAAGGCGGAUGCAGAAACGCCGUGGGCGGGAUGACGGCGUUCGGGGUGAAAACCGCUUUCGCUAAUGACGAAGCUUGGUGUGACGGUAGUGGGUAAGGAAGCAACGGCUAACUACGUG